GUUAGAGAGUUCACAGCUCGGUAAAAAAAAAUUCUAAAUUUUGUAGUUUUUUUUCGGCAAUAUUUAUUUGACUAGAUAUUAAGAAUAAAGUGAUAUUUUUUUACAACUAAUUUAAGCAAAAAGUGAAAAACACAAUCAACUAACAAAAGACAGUGAAAAGAAAACAACAAAAAUGUUCGUGGGGCAGAGAACUCACAGCUCGCAAAAAGUGAAAAACACAAUCAACAAACAAAAGACAGUGAAAAGAAAACAACAGUUAUGCUCGUUUCGUAAGAAAAAAAAUAAUAAAUGCAACAAUUAACAGCUCAACACCAAUCAAAUACCGCGAAAAAUACUCUGGGGUCUCACUUUAGAUGGCAGUAGGUUUUCCUCGGGGUCCAAUGGAUGCUGGAUCAUAGACGACUAAUACAACAAUCAAUCAACACCAAUCAAAUAACGCGAAAAAUACUCUGGGGUCUCACUUUAGAUGGCAGUAGGUUUUCUUCGGGGUCCAAUGGAUGCUGGAUCAUAGACGACUAAUACAACAAUCAACACCACCCGUUCAGCAUUAAACAAUAAUCAAAAAAAAAACUGCGAAAAAGACACUAUAGAGUUGUUCCCACAGCUGGCAGGAGGUCGUCCUUGGAGUCUAACGGAUGUACAAUCGGAUACACGGUCAAACACGUUCACGAGUGCGAACUACAUAUACUAAACACACUAUACUAUAUUUUGAUACUAAUAAUUAUAUAUUUUUAUACCAAAAACAAA
rnacentral:sRNA from 1 species